rnacentral:rRNA from 1 species
GUAUGCUGACCUGCGAUUACUAGCGAUUCCUCCUUCACGUAGGCGAGUUGCAGCCUACGAUCUGAACUGAGCCACGGUUUAUGGGAUUUGCUAGCUCUCGCGAGUUUGCUGCCCUUUGUCCGUAGCAUUGUAGUACGUGUGUAGCCCAGGACGUAAGGGGCAUGAUGACUUGACGUCAUCCACACCUUCCUCCGGUUUAUCACCGGCGGUCUCUCUAGAGUGCCCAACUUAAUGCUGGCAACUAAAGACGUGGGUUGCGCUCGUUGCGGGACUUAACCCAACAUCUCACGACACGAGCUGACGACAGCCAUGCACCACCUGUCUCUGCGCUCCCGAAGGCACUCCCUAGUUUCCAAGGGA